GUCUAUGGUCGUACCAUCCUGAACACACCUGAUCUCAUCUGAUCUCGGAAGCUAAGCAGGGUUUGGCCUGGUUAGUACUUGGAUGGGAGAUCAUAAAAAUUGGUGGGCAGCUCAGAAG
ensembl:rRNA 5S_rRNA 5S ribosomal RNA